GUGCCAGCAGCCGCGGUAAUACCGGCAGCCCGAGUGAUGGCCGAUCUUAUUGGGCCUAAAGCGUCCGUAGCUGGCCGCACAAGUCCAUCGGAAAAUCCACCCGCCCAACGGGUGGGCGUCCGGUGGAAACUGUGUGGCUUGGGACCGGAAGGCGCGACGGGUACGUCCGGGGUAGGAGUGAAAUCCUGUAAUCCUGGACGGACCGCCGAUGGCGAAAGCACGUCGCGAGGACGGAUCCGACAGUGAGGGACGAAAGCCAGGGUCUCGAACCGGAUUAGAA
rnacentral:rRNA from 1 species